GAUGAAUCAAAGAAGGUAAUAAUCCUGUAGUCGAAAAUGUUGUCUCUCUUGAGUGGAUCCUGAGUACGACGGAGCACGUGAAAUUCCGUCGGAAUUUGGGAGGACCAUCUCCUAAGGCUAAAUACUCUCUAGUGACCGAUAGCGAACCAGUACCGUGAGGGAAAGGUGAAAAGCACCCCGGAAGGGGAGUGAAAUAGAACCUGAAACCGUGUGCUUACAAGUAGUCAGAGCCCGUUAAUGGGUGAUGGCGUGCCUUUUGUAGAAUGAACCGGCGAGUUACGAUUUGAUGCAAGGUUAAGCAGUAAAUGUGGAGCCGUAGCGAAAGCGAGUCUGAAUAGGGCGUUUAGUAUUUGGUCGUAGACCCGAAACCAGGUGAUCUACCCUUGGUCAGGUUGAAGUUCAGGUAACACUGAAUGGAGGACCGAACCGACUUACGUUGAAAAGUGAGCGGAUGAACUGAGGGUAGCGGAGAAAUUCCAAUCGAACCUGGAGAUAGCUGGUUCUCUCCGAAAUAGCUUUAGGGCUAGCCUCAAGUGAUGAUUAUUGGAGGUAGAGCACUGUUUGGACGAGGGGCCCCUCUCGGGUUACCGAAUUCAGACAAACUCCGAAUGCCAAUUAAUUUAACUUGGGAGUCAGAACAUGGGUGAUAAGGUCCGUGUUCGAAAGGGAAACAGCCCAGACCACCAGCUAAGGUCCCAAAAUAUAUGUUAAGUGGAAAAGGAUGUGGCGUUGCCCAGACAACUAGGAUGUUGGCUUAGAAGCAGCCAUCAUUUAAAGAGUGCGUAAUAGCUCACUAGUCGAGUGACACUGCGCCGAAAAUGUACCGGGGCUAAACAUAUUACCGAAGCUGUGGAUUGUCCUUUGGACAAUGGUAGGAGAGCGUUCUAAGGGCGUUGAAGCAUGAUCGUAAGGACAUGUGGAGCGCUUAGAAGUGAGAAUGCCGGUGUGAGUAGCGAAAGACGGGUGAGAAUCCCGUCCACCGAUUGACUAAGGUUUCCAGAGGAAGGCUCGUCCGCUCUGGGUUAGUCGGGUCCUAAGCUGAGGCCGACAGGCGUAGGCGAUGGAUAACAGGUUGAUAUUCCUGUACCACCUAUAAUCGUUUUAAUCGAUGGGGGGACGCAGUAGGAUAGGCGAAGCGUGCGAUUGGAUUGCACGUCUAAGCAGUAAGGCUGAGUAUUAGGCAAAUCCGGUACUCAUUAAGGCUGAGCUGUGAUGGGGAGAAGACAUUGUGUCUUCGAGUCGUUGAUUUCACACUGCCGAGAAAAGCCUCUAGAUAGAAAAUAGGUGCCCGUACCGCAAACCGACACAGGUAGUCAAGAUGAGAAUUCUAAGGUGAGCGAGCGAACUCUCGUUAAGGAACUCGGCAAAAUGACCCCGUAACUUCGGGAGAAGGGGUGCUCUUUAGGGUUAACGCCCAGAAGAGCCGCAGUGAAUAGGCCCAAGCGACUGUUUAUCAAAAACACAGGUCUCUGCUAAACCGUAAGGUGAUGUAUAGGGGCUGACGCCUGCCCGGUGCUGGAAGGUUAAGAAGAGUGGUUAGCUUCUGCGAAGCUACGAAUCGAAGCCCCAGUAAACGGCGGCCGUAACUAUAACGGUCCUAAGGUAGCGAAAUUCCUUGUCGGGUAAGUUCCGACCCGCACGAAAGGCGUAACGAUUUGGGCACUGUCUCAACGAGAGACUCGGUGAAAUCAUAGUACCUGUGAAGAUGCAGGUUACCCGCGACAGGACGGAAAGACCCCGUGGAGCUUUACUGUAGCCUGAUAUUGAAAUUCGGCACAGCUUGUACAGGAUAGGUAGGAGCCUUUGAAACGUGAGCGCUAGCUUACGUGGAGGCGCUGGUGGGAUACUACCCUAGCUGUGUUGGCUUUCUAACCCGCACCACUUAUCGUGGUGGGAGACAGUGUCAGGCGGGCAGUUUGACUGGGGCGGUCGCCUCCUAAAAGGUAACGGAGGCGCUCAAAGGUUCCCUCAGAAUGGUUGGAAAUCAUUCAUAGAGUGUAAAGGCAUAAGGGAGCUUGACUGCGAGACCUACAAGUCGAGCAGGGUCGAAAGACGGACUUAGUGAUCCGGUGGUUCCGCAUGGAAGGGCCAUCGCUCAACGGAUAAAAGCUACCCCGGGGAUAACAGGCUUAUCUCCCCCAAGAGUUCACAUCGACGGGGAGGUUUGGCACCUCGAUGUCGGCUCAUCGCAUCCUGGGGCUGUAGUCGGUCCCAAGGGUUGGGCUGUUCGCCCAUUAAAGCGGUACGCGAGCUGGGUUCAGAACGUCGUGAGACAGUUCGGUCCCUAUCCGUCGUGGGCGUAGGAAAUUUGAGAGGAGCUGUCCUUAGUACGAGAGGACCGGGAUGGACAUACCUCUGGUGUACCAGUUGUCGUGCCAACGGCAUAGCUGGGUAGCUAUGUGUGGACGGGAUAAGUGCUGAAAGCAUCUAAGCAUGAAGCCCCCCUCAAGAUGAGAUUUCCCAACUUCGGUUAUAAGAUCCCUCAAAGAUGAUGAGGUUAAUAGGUUCGAGGUGGAAGCAUGGUGACAUGUGGAGCUGACGAAUACUAAUCGAUCGAAGACUUAAUCAA
rnacentral:rRNA from 1 species